rnacentral:rRNA from 1 species
AGUAGCGAGAGGAAGGUGGGAAUCCUUCCGGCCGAAUAUCUAAGGUUUCCAGAGUAAAGCUGAUCUGCUCUGGGUAAGUCGGGGCCUAAGGCGAGGUCGAAAGACGUAGUCGAUGGAUAACAGGUUGAAAUUCCUGUACUAUCCUGUAACAGAACUGUGGGGACACAGGCAGAGAGCGUGAGCCGGGAAUGGAAAGACCGGUACAAGCGAGGUAGGAGAAGAGUUGGCAAAUCCGCUCUUUAAUCUGAAGACGUGAUGUGGACUGAAAAUAAGUAGGGAAGCACGUGAGCUGACUGUCAAGAAAAGCCGCUAUUGUUUGCAGGAUACCCGUACCGUAAACCGACACAGGUGGAUGAGGAGAGAAUCCUAAGGCCGACGGGAGAAGCAUUGUUAAGGAACUCGGCAAAAUGACUCCGUAACUUCGGGAGAAGGAGUGCCAGUAAGAUGGCCGCAGAGAAUUGGCCCAAGCAACUGUUUAGCAAAAACACAGGUCUAUGCAAAACCGAAAGGUGAGGUAUAUGGGCUGACGCCUGCCCGGUGCUGGAAGGUUAAGGGGAGAGGUUAGCGCAAGCGAAGCUUUGAACUUAAGCCCCAGUAAACGGCGGCCGUAACAAUAACGGUCCUAAGGUAGCGAAAUUCCUUGUCGGGUAAGUUCCGACCCGCACGAAAGGCGUAAUGAUUUGGGCACUGUCUCAACAAUGCACCCGGUGAAAUUGAAAUACCAGUGAAGAUGCUGGUUACCUGCGCCAGGACGGAAAGACCCCAUGGAGCUUUACUCCAGCUUGAUACUGGGAUUCGGUAUUGCAUGUACAGGAUAGGUGGGAGGCUAGGAAAUGGUAACGCCAGUUGCCAUGGAGCCAAUGUUGGGAUACCACCCUUGCAGUACUGGGUUUCUAACCAGCAGCCGUGAUCCGGCUGGGGGACAAUGUCAGGUGGGGAGUUUGACUGGGGCGGUCGCCUCCGAAAGGGUAUCGGAGGCGCUCAAAGGUUCCCUCAGAAUGGUUGGAAACCAUUCGAAGAGUGCAAAGGCAGAAGGGAGCUUGACUGCGACACCGACGGGUGGAGCAGGUACGAAAGUAGGACUUAGUGAUCCGGUGGUAUAAAGUGGGAUUGCCAUCGCUCAACGGAUAAAAGCUACCCUGGGAUAACAGGCUUAUCACUCCCAAGAGUUCACAUCGACGGAGUGGUUUGGCACCUCGAUGUCGGCUCAUCGCAUCCUGGGGCUGAAGUAGGUCCCAAGGGUUGGGCUGUUCGCCCAUUAAAGCGGUACGCGAGCUGGGUUCAGAACGUCGUGAGACAGUUCGGUCCCUAUCCGGCGUGGGCGUAAGAUAUUUGAGAGGAGCUGUCCUUAGUACGAGAGGACCGGGAUGGACUGGCCGCUGGUGUAUCUGUUGUCUUACCAAAGGCAUAGCAGAGUAGCCAAGCCGGGAAGGGAUAAACGCUGAAGGCAUCUAAGCGUGAAACCCCCCUCAAGAUGAGAUAUCUCAUAACGUCAAGUUAGUAAGACCCCUUGAAGACGACGAGGUAGAUAGGGCAGAGGUGGAAGUGUGGUAACACAUGGAGCUGACUGUUACUAAUAGGUCGAGGGCGUAACC